GCCUACGGGGGGCAGCAGUAGGGAAUUUUCGUCAAUGGGCGCAAGCCUGAACGAGCUAUGCCGCGUGAACGAGGAAGGUCUUCGGAUCGUAAAGUUCUGUUGAAGGGGAAAAAGAGCGGAGAGAGGAAAUGGUCUCCGAUUGAUAUUACCCUUCGAGGAAGUCACGGCUAACUACGUGCCAGCAGCCGCGGUAAUACGUAGGCGGCGAGCGUUAUCCGGAAUGAUUGGGCGUAAAGGGUGCGUAGGCGGCCUGCUAAGUCUGGAGUGAAAGGUACCGGCUCAACCGGUACAGGCUCUGGAAACUG
rnacentral:rRNA from 1 species